rnacentral:rRNA from 2 species
AGAGUUUGAUCCUGGCUCAGGACGAACGCUGGCGGCGUGCUUAACACAUGCAAGUCGAGCGAUGAAGCUUCCUUCGGGAAGUGAAUUAGCGGCGGACGGGUGAGUAACACGUGGGUAACCUGCCUCAAAGUGGGGGAUAGCCUUCCGAAAGGAAGAUUAAUACCGCAUAAUAUGAGAGAAUCGCAUGAUUUUCUUAUCAAAGAUUUAUUGCUUUGAGAUGGACCCGCGGCGCAUUAGCUAGUUGGUAAGGUAACGGCUUACCAAGGCAACGAUGCGUAGCCGACCUGAGAGGGUGAUCGGCCACAUUGGAACUGAGACACGGUCCAGACUCCUACGGGAGGCAGCAGUGGGGAAUAUUGCGCAAUGGGGGAAACCCUGACGCAGCAACGCCGCGUGGGUGAUGAAGGUCUUCGGAUUGUAAAGCCCUGUUUUCUAGGACGAUAAUGACGGUACUAGAGGAGGAAGCCACGGCUAACUACGUGCCAGCAGCCGCGGUAAUACGUAGGUGGCGAGCGUUGUCCGGAUUUACUGGGCGUAAAGGGUGCGUAGGCGGAUGUUUAAGUGGGAUGUGAAAUCCCCGGGCUUAACCUGGGGGCUGCAUUCCAAACUGGAUAUCUAGAGUGCAGGAGAGGAAAGCGGAAUUCCUAGUGUAGCGGUGAAAUGCGUAGAGAUUAGGAAGAACACCAGUGGCGAAGGCGGCUUUCUGGACUGUAACUGACGCUGAGGCACGAAAGCGUGGGUAGCAAACAGGAUUAGAUACCCUGGUAGUCCACGCCGUAAACGAUGGAUACUAGGUGUAGGGGGUAUCAACUCCCCCUGUGCCGCAGUUAACACAAUAAGUAUCCCGCCUGGGGAGUACGGUCGCAAGAUUAAAACUCAAAGGAAUUGACGGGGGCCCGCACAAGCAGCGGAGCAUGUGGUUUAAUUCGAAGCAACGCGAAGAACCUUACCUGGACUUGACAUCCCUUGCAUAGCCUAGAGAUAGGUGAAGCCCUUCGGGGCAAGGAGACAGGUGGUGCAUGGUUGUCGUCAGCUCGUGUCGUGAGAUGUUAGGUUAAGUCCUGCAACGAGCGCAACCCUUGUUAUUAGUUGCUACCAUUAAGUUGAGCACUCUAAUGAGACUGCCUGGGUAACCAGGAGGAAGGUGGGGAUGACGUCAAAUCAUCAUGCCCCUUAUGUCCAGGGCUACACACGUGCUACAAUGGUAGGUACAAUAAGACGCAAGACCGUGAGGUGGAGCAAAACUUAUAAAACCUAUCUCAGUUCGGAUUGUAGGCUGCAACUCGCCUACAUGAAGCUGGAGUUGCUAGUAAUCGCGAAUCAGAAUGUCGCGGUGAAUACGUUCCCGGGCCUUGUACACACCGCCCGUCACACCAUGAGAGCUGGUAACACCCGAAGUCCGUGAGGUAACCGUAAGGAACCAGCGGCCGAAGGUGGGAUUAGUGAUUGGGGUGAAGUCGUAACAAGGUAGCCGUAGGAGAACCUGCGGCUGGAUCACCUCC